GCGAUGGAUACGUUAUUUAGUGCUUUGGAUCCAUCUUGGAGAGUAGGGGGCAUACAUACUUGGCCGACUGUGAGCUUGGACAUGAACCUCCAAAAUGACACACAUAGUUGUGGUGUCCAUAUGCUCAUUGCGAUUAAAGCUUGUGCGGAUCGUUUUGUGGAGAGAGUUGUUGUGGAUAACAUGUCGAAGGAACGGGAGCGGCUGCUAUGUGAAGACGUUAUGUCAACGGAGAACGAAGCAAGAAAGUAGUUUUAUUGAUCUAUUAAGUACAUUGUGAGUUGGUGUGCAUACUUUUUUGUAAAUGGCC